UUCAUGGAAUUUCUGGAAAUUACCUCCUCUUGUAAUUGAUGUUUGAGGUGUCAACUGGAGAUCUAUCCUUAAACACCUGAAUACCGAGAAAAAUGUGUUUUGGCCUUGCUUGUUCUGGUUCUGUCGCUCUUCAGGUUGUGUGUGGCCAAGACCUACGACAGAAGUCUCAUUGCUGUUUGUACUAGGCUGGCUGCAUGGCCCAAGAGGAGUUCAUAGAAGAUUCUGCAAAAAAAGUUGAAUUCAUUAUACGUUUAUCUUGUUUCAGGAACAGUUAAAUGUACAAUAUUUGUAUAGAGCAUACAUUUAACCCCAUAAAUGCAAUCAUUUCUCAUGGGGAAGCAGGCAUGCCUGGAAAACAUUAUUGCAUAAUUCUCAGUAUGAAAUGCAUCGUCAUUCCUUGUCAUUGAUUGAGAGUUUAUACCCAGUUAGGCCGGAAAAGUUCUGAGCGUUUUGGUCAUCUGGAAUUAAACUUGUGUUUGGUUCGUGCACAAUAAGCUUCAUU
rnacentral:misc_RNA from 1 species